AAAGAAACCAACAGGGAUUGCCUCAGUAACGGCGAGUGAAGCGGCAACAGCUCAAAUUUGAAAUCUGGCCCUUUCAGGGUCCGAGUUGUAAUUUGCAGAGGAUGCUUCGGGUACGGCCGCGGCGUAAGUCCCCUGGAACGGGGUGUCAUAGAGGGUGAGAAUCCCGUCUUCCGUCGCCGGUUCCGUGCCCGUGUGAAGCUCCUUCGACGAGUCGAGUUGUUUGGGAAUGCAGCUCUAAAUGGGUGGUAAAUUUCAUCUAAAGCUAAAUACUGGCUGGAGACCGAUAGCGCACAAGUAGAGUGAUCGAAAGGUUAAAAGCACCUUGAAAAGGGAGUUAAAUAGCACGUGAAAUUGUUGAAAGGGAAGCGCUUGCAACCAGACUCGGCCGCAGGGGUUCAACGGGUGCGUGUCACCCGUGCGCUCCCCUGCAGUCGGGCCAGCAUCAGUUUUGGCGGCCGGUCAAAGGCCCCUGGAAGGUGUCGCCUCUCGGGGCGUCUUAUAGCCAGGGGUGCAAUGCGGCCUGCUGGGACUGAGGAACGCGCUUCGGCACGGAUGCUGGCAU
rnacentral:rRNA from 2 species